GCCAGUUGCACGGUGGCCGCCCCCAAAUUCGAGGAGGAAGGUGCAAAGUGGUGGGAGGCUGCGGGUCUCCCGGAGGGUGAGGCGUUGGGGACCAGGCGGGAGCACAGCCGAACCCCUACCUUUCGGGCGGGGCGGACACCAGCCGCGCGCCCUCGCCGGGCGCCGGGACCGGAAAAUCACCGCGAAGGGAGGGACGAGGAAAGGCGGCGGGUGGCUUCAGGACAAGGACUUUGUGAUUACAUUGGGCCCAUCCAGAUCAUCCAGGAUCAUCUUCCCAUCUCAAGAUUCUUCACUUAAUCACAUCUGCAAAAUUCCUUUUGCUGUCUGUGAGAUAUCGGUGGGCGAGGAUGUGAUGCCUGAAGAUGUGGCAUCUACCUUGAAACAGUCAAGGACCUGAGGAUGAAGCCAGCAUCUGAGGAAGACAGACAGAAAGGAUCUGGAUACAUCAUGAGCCUGAAAAGUAUCUUGCAUACACAACUGGCAGCACAGAAUCCUGACAAACCUCUCAUCAGAAAUCAACCACAGACUCUUUAUGCUCUUACCAAAAUGCUGGCUUUGAGAACUAAUUAUGAAUGAAAAUUACUGAUGUGAUUUUCAGGUGAGAGACCCUAUUAGACAAAAUUUUGGAUUCAUUUUUUUCUCUUGAGUAAAACAUGGGGAAAAAAUCUU
rnacentral:lncRNA from 10 species